rnacentral:lncRNA from 1 species
UAUAGACUAAGUUAAUCACGUUUAAUCACAUAUUAAGCUAAGCUUAACAAAAGCCACGUGGAUGGAGGACUAAAAGACAAAAACCCGCGAUUGGUAGGUCCCAGAUAUUUCCCAUGUAUAUAAAUAAAUUGUUGUCGUGGAAUCUUAAAUCACUCACUCAAUUCCAGUCUACUGCCGAUCUGAUCUCGAUUUCCAGCUCCAAAAACGAAGAAGAUCAUAACCCAGAAAGAUGCCGACGUCCUGCCGUAGAAGAUCAAGAAGAUUCGUCGGCACUUUGUUCUUCAUCACGAUUCUCUUCCAAAUCCUCUGCCUCAGCAGCCUCUGCCACGGCGGCGCUCUGUUGCCGAGGCGCCUUCUGCUUCAUCCCCAGAUUCCGGCGGCGGAGAUGGAUCGGGAUCAUUACAUUGGUCAUGUACAGCAUGAGCAGGGCAAGAAAGCUGUGGAGCAGAGUUUGAGGAAAGCCCCUCCGAGCAGGUUCAACCCCAUCCAGAACAAGUAGGGAUCGAUCCCAGCCGUCGAUCUUUGCUUCAGUCUAGUGGUACUUAGACUCAAAUUAAGUGAGGUUUUUGUGUAGAGCAAUUAUUAUAUAAGUGUUCUUCAAUUCUUUUUCUUACGUUAAUUUUGUAAGAUUUGUGGCUCGAAUGUUUGUCUUGUCACCAGUUUUUUCAUUAAAAAGCAGAUCUAUAACAGGUUGUAAAUACAUUUUCCAAUCAUUACUUUUUCACAUCCAUGAUCGCCAAACAUCCCCAAAAAUUACCCACAAGUUAACGGUUUCAUCUAUAGUGGUUACGAAUUUUAAGAAAAAUGAGCUAGCAUUCGUAGUCUAAAUUUUAUAUUAUGAUGGUACGUAACAUGAUAUCCGAUUGAAUGGCUCGUGAGGCUCCUCACUACGAAUCUUUACCUUGUAGCUGAACCUCUAGUUCAAAGAACUUUAUUACAAAGCUUACAUAUGUGAAAAUGGUGAAAUGAAUCCUUACUAAUUUUCCAACAUGUCUAGAAAGAUCUUUCAAGAACCUUACAAGCACAAAAGGAAGGCUCAUGGGCCAUAUUGGCCCAUAUCAAUCGACAAAUAUAAGCCCAAAUUCAAGCUCUGUUAUGUGAUGAUGUAUC